GACGAACGCUGGCGGCGUGCUUAACACAUGCAAGUCGUACGGUAAGGCCCUUUCGGGGGUACACGUGUGGCGAACGGGUGAGUAACACGUGAGUAACCUGCCCACAACUUUGGGAUAACGCUAGGAAACUGGUGCUAAUACUGGAUAUGUGCUCCUGCUGCAUGGUGGGGGUUGGAAAGCUCCGGCGGUUGUGGAUGGACUCGCGGCCUAUCAGCUUGUUGGUGGGGUAGUGGCCUACCAAGGCGGCGACGGGUAGCCGGCCUGAGAGGGUGACCGGCCACAUUGGGACUGAGAUACGGCCCAGACUCCUACGGGAGGCAGCAGUGGGGAAUAUUGCACAAUGGGCGCAAGCCUGAUGCAGCAACGCCGCGUGCGGGAUGACGGCCUUCGGGUUGUAAACCGCUUUCAGCAGGGACGAAGCUUUUUGUGACGGUACCUGCAGAAGAAGCACCGGCUAACUACGUG
rnacentral:rRNA from 1 species